AGCCCCGAGGCCGCGGCGCUGGAGGUACCGGAGGAGGAGGAGGAGGGUGCCCGGUGCCCGCUAGCGAGCGAGACGCAGGCGCUCAGCGUCCCCUGCCCCUCGGGUGCCACCACCUUCCGCUACAUCAUCAUCAACAACUGUCAGACCUUCCACGGCGCCCAGUACAUCUGUGCCCGGUGCUACCGCGGGCAGCUCGCCUCCAUCCACGGCUCCCGCACCAACGCCUGCCUGUGGCACCAGGCCCGGCUCCGCACCAACCGCGGGCAGGUCUGGAUCGGUGCCAUCACCCGCCCCGUGGGCAGGUCCGUGUGCUGCCAGUGGACAGACCGCAGCCGCUGGAACUACUCGCACUGGCAGCGUGGCUAUCCGCUGCGCAACAGUGGCUACUGCACCUCGCUCUGCACCAACAAUGGGCGCUGGAGAAGCCUGAACUGCCAGGUGAGGCUGCCCUUCAUCUGCGAGUACUGAGGGGCUCAGCCCCCCCCGCGGUGCCCCCCAGCCCUGCGGACCCCCAGGGAAACCCCCUGCUGCAGCCCCCCCCUGCCACUGGCCCCAUGGCAGGGGGCUGCACCCCCACCCCAGAUCUCAAUAAAGUGUCAG